GGGGAUGAUCGGUUUCGACGACGGUUGUCGAUUGAAGGGAAGCGGGUCGAGGAUGCACAGUCAUCUCGCUAACGAUCUGUGUAAACCAAUAGGUGCCAAACAGAAUCGCACCGACUUCGCUCUGGCCGCCUGAGCCAUCGAGCGCUAAAAAGUCCGUCACCCUAGACUUUGCUUUCGGUCUAGGUGCUGGCGUCGUUUAGAAAGCCACUGGCUGCUGGUGUGGUUGCUUCAUCAGCGGCGAGAUUUAUAGCAACUGGGCCUGUCCAAUAACGUCGUUCAUGCGAGUUUGGGGGCCGAGAAAAUCCAGAAUGAACUGCACCCGGAGAAGACUUCAGGGCCAGCCGCCGGACGCGGGUUCGAUUCCCGCCAUCUCCACCC
rnacentral:tmRNA from 2 species